CUGCUCCUCAACAUCCCAGCUUCAGCUGGGAGGACCUGAAUGGCAGAGAGAGAAGUGUCAGGGUAUAGGCAUGGGGCAACAUCAUCCUCAACCUGCUCCCAGGCCCUGCACUCAUGGUGCUUUCUCUCACCCUCUAACAAGUAAACUUUUAAUUUAGUUUUAAUUUGGGGGAUCACUUUUAAUUUUAGAUGGUUUUAGAUUUUUAAACAUUGCAAAGAGAGUACACAGAUGCCCAUUUAUUCUAUGACCUGUUACCAAUAUCCUACAUUGUACGGUCCAUUUGUCAUAAUGAACCAACACUGAUACAUUACUGUUAACUAGAGUCCAUACUUUGUUCAGAUGUCCUUAGUUUUUACUUAAUGCCCUUUGUUCUGUUACAGGAUACAUGCUACUGAUACAUCAGGCCUCUUCUUGACUGCAACAGUUUUCAGACCUCCCUUGUUUUGAGUGACUGAUGAUUUUUGAGGAGUGCUGGUCAGGUGCCAGGGUUGGGGUUCACAUUCACCUGAAGGUUCAGAAAAGUGGUAUUGGAAUUAGAAGAGUUGUUUGGUUUUUGUGUAUUUGCUUCUAAGAGCUGUUGUUGUGCCAUGAGUCCCCACAUAGUUGGGUAGCACGCAUGCCAGUUUCUCAAUUCAAGCUUCAAGAUGGGGAAAGCUUCCGCUGGAUCACUCAGAGCACUUGGUAGGGGUCAGGGAGGUUCAGAGAGGAAUGGGAUCCAGCUCAUGUUUGAAACAUCUCAAGGGCUGGAGAUUGUGGCCAACAGCUCUGCAGACAUUUAGGACAGAAUGAAUGAAUCAGGUCUUUCUUGCUUUCCACCAGCGCCACCUGGAGGUGGAAGGUGAGCCCCGCAGAGAGGCUGGAACUGUACAGAUGGACCCCACAGACAGAGCAAGCCAACCUUCCAGCUGUGCAGCUGGAGGAGGGACUGCAGAGGUUUCCAAGAAUGAUUGAACAAGAAAGCUGCAUGGAGAGAGGGGGAUGCUGAGUUUUGGAAGCAGUCAGAAGCAAGAAAACAAAAGCUGCAGGCACUCCAUCUCCUCCGCGGAUGCUCUGAGUCAUCUUCUGGUUUCUUGU
rnacentral:lncRNA from 1 species